GCAUUAAUGGGGUAGUGGUAACCUGGGUCGUUGCCAUAUCGUCACUUGAGUUUAACUCGACCCGCCGGGGGUUCGAUUCCCCCUUAAUGCA